rnacentral:rRNA from 2 species
UGGGGAAUAUUGGACAAUGGGCGAAAGCCUGAUCCAGCCAUGCCGCGUGAGUGAUGAAGGCCCUAGGGUUGUAAAGCUCUUUCAACGGUGAAGAUAAUGACGGUAACCGUAGAAGAAGCCCCGGCUAACUUCGUG